CCUACGGGGGGCAGCAGUGAGGAAUAUUGGUCAAUGGGCGCGAGCCUGAACCAGCCAAGUAGCGUGAAGGAUGACUGCCCUACGGGUUGUAAACUUCUUUUAUAAAGGAAUAAAGUGAGGCACGUGUGCCUUUUUGUAUGUACUUUAUGAAUAAGGAUCGGCUAACUCCGUGCCAGCAGCCGCGGUAAUACGGAGGAUCCGAGCGUUAUCCGGAUUUAUUUGGUUUAAAGGGGGCGUAGAUGGGUUGUUAAGUCAGUUGUGAAAGUUUGCGGCUCAACCGUAACACUGCAGUUGAUACUGGCAGCCUUGAGUACAGUUGAGGUAGGCGGAAUGCGUGGUGUAGCGGUGAAAUGCUUAGAUAUCACGAAGAACUCCGAUUGCGAAGGCAGCCUACUAAGCUGCCACUGACAUUGAUGCUCGAAAGUGUGGGUAUCAAACAGGAUUAGAUACCCCUGUAGUC
rnacentral:rRNA from 1 species